rnacentral:rRNA from 1 species
AUACAGAGGGUGCGAGCGUUAAUCGGAAUUACUGGGCGUAAAGCGCGCGUAGGCGGUCUAUUAAGUCAGAUGUGAAAUCCCAGGGCUCAACAUUGGAACUGCAUCUGAUACUGGUAGACUAGAGUUUUGGAGAGGGAAGUAGAAUUUCAGGUGUAGCGGUGAAAUGCAUAGAGAUCAGAAGGAAUACCAGUGGCGAAGGCGACUUCCUGGCCAAAAACUGACGCUGAGGUGCGAAAGCGUGGGUAGCAAACGGGAUUAGAUACCCUAGUAGUCC